UAGAGAGGAAAUGAAACCACAGCUUGGUGAGCAGGCCUCUGGGGUCUCAUUGUAAUUGAGAUUAUGGCCAGGUGUGGUGGCUCACGUUUGUAAUCUCAGCACUCAAGAGGCUGAGGCAGGAGGGUUUCAGCAAGUUUGAGGCCAGCCUGGGCUGCAUAGUGAGUUCAAGUUCAGCCUGAACUACAUAGUGAGACCCUGUGAUGAAGAAGAAGAAGAAGAGGAAGAAGAAGAGGAAGAAGAGUAGGAAGGGGAAGGAAGAAGAAGAAGGAGAAGAAGAAUUGGGAUUACAUUGGCCUCCUAGAAUGAGUUAAAGACCAUUGCCAAAGGUCAUCCUGUCUCAGGAAAGUCUGCACAGAACUUUCCUGUGGAACAGCUCCUGCAGAAUCGGCACAGGUCUGGACUAUUUGGAUUGUUUCACAACCUCGUGCCAGGUGCUUUUGAAGGAUUACAGUGGGGAAGGGGCUCUGAAGACUGGGCAUGGACAUGUGUGAGCCCCCAUGAAGAAAUAGAAGCCCAGAGCCGCUCCAGAGAGGAUUGAACUCAGGACCUUGUGCUUACGAGGAAGGCGGUGGAACCACUGAGCUAAAUCCCUAGCCCCGAAGGUGGAUUCUUAACUGGUGGAUGGCUUUUCAAGUGUGUGGAUGAAGGAAUGGCAUCAAGGGAAAAACUAUGGACAGAAUAUAAAAUGCAGUUCUCAAUGACUUUGAAAAGCAAAAGCAGAAGGCAAAUGCAGGAGAGAAAUCAAAGCUUGCGGAAGUGGCCCAUUGGAGAGCAAAGCCCACAUGGGGACACGACAAGAGGGCCGCCAUCCCUAAGCCUGGAACAGCGCCCCCACCAGGAACGGAAUGUGUCAGCACCUUGUUCUGGGCCCCCCAGCCUCCAGUCUGUUGUGGAAGCCCUGGGCUGUGAUGCUUUGUUAUGGGAACUGUGCUGACUUAGACACGGAGACGACUUUUCCUCUAAACUGGAGCUCAGGAGUUGGCUCAGGUCCUCAGACACACUAGCCUGGCUUUGAACGAAAACCCACCCAAGCCAAAGUCACACCCAGGCUAUCUGCCACCUAAGUGCUUCCCGAUGGACGUGGUCGGCCACUCCUUUGCUUUAAGCCUUGGAGUGUUUGUUCAGGGGCUGCACAAUUGUGCUCCUCCCUGUGGAGAGUCAUCCAGAGGCCUUGCUAGGGUGGCUUCUGCUCCUCCUCUCCCCGAGUCCCCUUUCACCCAUGAGCUAGAGCUGCCAGCUGCAUGGUCAGUGCAGUGGGGCGGGGGGGGUCCCAACGAUGCCCCUGCCUGGUCUCUGGCACCUCUGAUGCUGUCACCUUGCAUGGUCAAAUGAACUUUGCAUGUCGAGUUAAGGCUAGGGGCCUUAAAGUGGGAGAUUAUCCGGGGUGAUAAUCACUCGGGCCCUUAAAGUGGACAGAGGGGUCGAGGGGCCAGAGAGAGGUGGAGGAGAAGAGGCAGGCGAGGGUUGAGGUGUGAGACAUGGGCCGUGGUUGCCACCAUAACGACGGAGCAGGCCGUGGCCAGGGAGGGCCAGUGUCGCAAGAUGCCAAGAAAAACCCUGGCCAACAGUCAGAAAGAAACAAGGACUUCGCCCCACGGCCCCAGUGACUGGAUCCUCCAGAUACCCAAGGGAGCCUGGAAGCAGACCCACACCACAGGUCAGCCCGUGAGACCCCUCGACUUUGUCCUCCGGAGACUCACAGGGAUUUCUGGCCCCCACUAAGUCUGUAGUAGAGUUGCCCUUCGUGUCCGUGGAGGACCCUCAACACCCACAAAGGCGCCAGUCCCUUAUAUAAAAUGGCACUGUUUGCAUAAACCUAGCCUCUGCCCCAUAGCCUUCAGAUCCCCGCCAGAUGACUUAGAUUCCCCGUUCAGCGCUCAUUCUCUGCACACAGCUGUGCCUUGUGGAUUAGGGAAUAACGACAAGGAUGAAAGUUCUCUACAUGUUUGCUACAGUUGUAAUUGAAAAAAAAUAUUUUUGGUUUGCAGCUGGCUGGAUCUGAGGGUGCGGAACCUGCAGACACUGAGGGCGAUGGGUCUGUCACAGCAGGAGCAGGAAGCUGUCCUGCACAUGUGUCCUCUGUGUGCUGACUCUGUGGCAGGAACCCUUCCCUAGUUCCCACCUGGGGAGAAGGCCACCUGUCCCGGACGUCAGCUCUCUCGGCCUCUCCCUCAACAGCCGUCCCUGCCCUCCCAAGGGCCCAGUGAGAUUGAACCCAGGGCCUUCACCCCAAGCUACAUCCCCUGCCCUUUUUUAAGUUGCUUAGUGGCUGAGUUGCCCAGGCUGGGCUCCAACUUGUGAGGCUCCUCCCAUGCACCAGUGAGCAGGAUUUGUCACAUCCUCCUUGGUGCUCUGUAGAAUUUGCCCUGCCUCUGUAUCCCUGUGGUAGCUGUCUGCAUGAUGCCACUGUUUGCUGCAAUCUGAGCUUUAAUGGCAGGUGGGCCCUGUCCCUAGUCUAGCGCCCUACAGUCUAUGGACCAAUAUUUACUGAAGGACCGUGUUCUUGUGGCCAGGGGACAGGUCCUACAUACUGGGUAUUCAGUGGUGCCUAAAUCAGAGCAAGACCCUGUCCUCACGAAGCUUGGAGGCUGCACAUGGUCAGGGUCUCAUGGUGUGUGCUGCAUUGGAGGAGCCAGUCCCUCUUGGGCACAGGGGAGCCGCAGCUUCCAGGCAGAGGAUCGAGCUGGCCUCGUCAGGACAGCCGAGGUCUUUGCAUACCUGAGCUCCCUCCCUCUCAGGGCUGGUGUGGGCUCCAGCAAUGCUCAUCACAGAGUCUGGAGGACAUGGGGUUAGCUCGGGUUGCCCGUGGUGUAAUAACCAGGGUGCUGUUUUAUAGCUUUGUUCAUAAUGUGACUGAAAUAAUAUUGAUGCACACAGUUCCCAAAUGCAUUCUUCCCAUUCACCUUUACAUUUUAUCCCCAGGGCAAACCUUGGGCAAAUACGGAAGGGAAGCCAAGGAAAGCAAAGGAAAUAUUUAACUGGUGACAACUUAUAGUUGCCUUAUUUGCCUGUCUUGCCGGAGAGUCCUGAGUUAUAAAAGUUGGUCAGUGG
rnacentral:lncRNA from 1 species